UUUCCGUAGGUGAACCUGCGGAAGGAUCAUUAAAAAUGUGUACCGAUGUUGUACUAAAUUAAUCAUCCUACCUUUGUGAAUUUGUUUGUAACGAAUUUUUUAAAUGGGUCUUUCCCUAAGUUGGAUUGUAGUAAAAUACAAAAAGACUUAGGGAAUGCUUUUUAAAAGACUUUUUUUAAAUUAAACUUUUGUAUUCAUUUGUCUAAAAUUUAUUUUUAAUAUAAAACAACUUUGACAAUGGAUCUCUUGGUUCUCGCAACGAUGAAGAACGCAGCAAAUGCGAUAAGUAUGUGAAUUGCAGAAUACGUGAAUCAUCGAAUCUUCGAACGCAUAUUGCACUUUUUAGUUUACUAAAAAGUAUGUCUGUUUGAGUAUCAGUAAAUAUUCUCACAAACAUUAUUGUUUGGUUAUGAGUGUUUACAACGAUAAACAGUGUUCACUUUAAAUUCUUUUAAUUGAAUUUUACCAAUUCAUAAAUUAAAAUUGGAUAAAAUUUCCUUUACCGAGGAAUAACCUAAACAAUUUUAAUUUUAUGGAUUAAUACAUUCACAAGGAAUCUAUACAAAUAACUCAUCUCAAUCGAUAAGAGUACCGCUGAACUUAAGCAUAUCAAUAAGCGGAGGAAAGAAACUAACAAGGAUCCUUAGUAACGGCGAGUGAGCGGGAAGAGCUCAAAUUUGAAAUCUUCAAGGUUUGACCUUGACGAAUUGUAGUUUAUAGAAGUGUUUUCUGUUGGAGUUUUGGUAAAAGUUCUUUGGAAUAGGACAUCAUAGAGGUGAGAAUCCCGUAUUUGACCAUGACUUCCAGCUGUGUGAUACACUUUCAAGAGUCGAUUGUUGGAAUGCAGUCCAAAUGGGUGGUAAUUCAUCUAAGCUAAUAUUGGCGAGAGACCGAUAGCGAACAAGUACCGUGAGGAAAGAUGAAAAGAACUUUGAAAAGAGAGUUAAACAGUACGUGAAAUGUCAAAGUGAAGCGUUUGACACCAGUGUUGUUUCUCGAAAUCAAUUUAAUGGUUUUGUUUUAAGUUAUUGUGACUUUAUCAGCGCAUUUCUUAUUUUACUUGCUCAUUGAAUGCACUUUUCGUUUAACAGUCAACAUCAAUUUCUUUGGUGGUAAAAAGUUUAAAGGAAGGUGCUUGGACUUCGGUUCAAGUGUUUAUAGCCUUUUUCUAUGCCAUCGGAGAGAUUGAGGUCUGCAGCGUAGAUCCUUCGGGUUAGAUACCUUUGUGCUAAGUUAUAGUUUUUAUAGACAACUUGUUGACUAUAAUAACCCUGUAAUUACUCGCUUAGGCUAUUUUACCUACGCUUAGGAUGUUG
rnacentral:misc_RNA from 1 species